rnacentral:lncRNA from 1 species
AUGCAGCUUGAAUUUCAACCUGGAGCUGAGACCUCCAGAUGGACUCCUAGAAGGGUGACGUGUAAAGCUGCAUCCCUCAGCAGCCCACGAUCUUGGCAGGUUUGCCACUGUGACCAAUGUUUUAUUGAAGCUUCUGAGGCCGUAGAGCACAGGGAAGUUCCGAGCACACAGAGGACAAGCCAGGGCGGUGCUGUGUGGCCCAAAACAACCUUAAGGAGACAUGAGUGGGGGACGGUUUCUGACACCUUGAUUCCUUAUGUCUGUGUUUCUGCAGUGUGGAGCAUUGUGAGUCUGUGUGGCAGCAACCACGAAGAAAGUGAUACAGACUUGGUGGCGGAGAGCACCGACUGCCGCCAGGAUGAGGAGGCUGCAGAAUCUUGCUUUGGGAGGAAAGGAUCUUGCUGCAGGAGUCUGAGGAUAUGUUUGUCCUCUGUGAGCUUGGCUAGAAUAAUCCCAUGGUGGCCACACAACAGAGUGCACCCUGCCACUGAGCCAGACGAAGAUACUGUGGAACCUGACUCAGUACAUUCAGCAACCCCCGACGAUGUUGUGGAGGCCGGUGGGAGUGAGAAGACCAAGGAGGAGGCCCUGGCUGGGGAAACUGAGGAGGAGAUGGGGCUGGGGACUGUGAAGGCGGAGGAGGAGGAGGAAAAGGAGGAAGCUGCAGCCAUAGACAAGGCGGAGGAGGAGGCGGGCCCAGCCCAUGAAAAUGACAAGGAGGAGUCGCCAGCCAGCGACCGGGCUGAGCACGAAGACAAGCCUGCCCCCAAGGUAAGCUCACCUUUCUUGAUGUGAGAUUUGAAAAGUUGCCUUUUUUCUUUUUGAUAUCCCUAUCUCAGAAAUGGAAAUCUGAGAAAGUCCGUUAUAGAGGGUAUAUGCAGAUUCCUCUGCGGAGGAAUGUUGAGUCAAAGUUUGGUACCAACCAAUAACUCCUUCCAAGGGGCACUGGCCAAAGUGACCGCAUCAGUUCCCAAGUGUACAGCAGGGAGCAUUUUUCUUUGAAGAAGCCUGAAUGUUGUUUUGUUUUGUUUGUCUUUUUGCCUUUUCUAGGGCCACUCCCGUGGCAUAUGGAGUUUCCCAGGCCAGGGGUCUCAUCGGUGCUGUAGACACCGGCCUACGCCAGAGACGCAGCAGCGUGGGAUCCGAGCCAUGUCGGCAGCCUACACCACAGCUCAUGGCAAUGCCGGAUCCUUAACCUACUGAGCAAGGCCAGGGAUGCAAACCGCAACCGCAUGGUUCCUGGUGGGAUUGCCACGACGGG